GAUGAACGCUGGCGGCGUGCCUAAUACAUGCAAGUCGAGCGAACAGACGAGGAGCUUGCUCCUCUGACGUUAGCGGCGGACGGGUGAGUAACACGUGGAUAACCUACCUAUAAGACUGGGAUAACUUCGGGAAACCGGAGCUAAUACCGGAUAAUAUAUUGAACCGCAUGGUUCAAUAGUGAAAGACGGUUUUGCUGUCACUUAUAGAUGGAUCCGCGCCGCAUUAGCUAGUUGGUAAGGUAACGGCUUACCAAGGCAACGAUGCGUAGCCGACCUGAGAGGGUGAUCGGCCACACUGGAACUGAGACACGGUCCAGACUCCUAAGGGAGGCAGCAGGAGGGAAACUUCCGAAAUGGGCGAAAGCCUGACGGAGCAACGCCGCGUGAGUGAUGAAGGGCUUCGGAUCGUAAAACUCUGUUAUUAGGGAAGAACAAAUGUGUAAGUAACUAUGCACGUCUUGACGGUACCUAAUCAGAAAGCCACGGCUAACUAAGUG
rnacentral:rRNA from 1 species